rnacentral:rRNA from 1 species
AGUGAACGCUGGCGGUAGGCCUAACACAUGCAAGUCGAACGGCAGCACAGUAAGAGCUUGCUCUUACGGGUGGCGAGUGGCGGACGGUUGAGGAAUACAUCGGAAUCUACUUUUUCGUGGGGGAUAACGUAGGGAAACUUACGCUAAUACCGCAUACGCCCUACGGGUGACAGCAGGGGAUCUUCGGACCUUUCGCGAUUGAAUGAGCCGAUGUCGGAUUAGCUAGUUGUCGGGGUAAAGGCCCACCCAGGCGACGAUCCGUAGCUGGUCUGAGAGGAUGGUCAGCCACACUGGAACUGAGACACGGUCCAGACUCCUACGGGAGGCAGCAGUGGGGAAUAUUGGACAAUGGGCGCAAGCCUGAUCCAGCCAUACCGCGUGGGUGAAGAAGGCCUUCGGGUUGUAAAGCCCUUUUGUUGGGAAAGAAAAGCAGCAGGUUAAUACCCCGCUGUCCUGACGGUACCCAAAGAAUAAGCACCGGCUAACUUCGUG